rnacentral:misc_RNA from 1 species
UGGUUCUGGCAUCGAUGAAGAACGCAGCGAAAUGCGAUAAGUAAUGUGAAUUGCAGAAUUCAGUGAAUCAUCGAAUCUUUGAACGCACAUUGCGCCCCUUGGUAUUCCGGGGGGCAUGCCUGUUCGAGCGUCAUUUCAACCCUCAAGCUUUGGCUUGGUCUUGGGCUCUGCCGAUCAACUGAGCGGCUUGCCUUAAAAUCAAUGGCGGGGCCACCGAACCCUUCGCGUAGUAGUUAUUUUUCUCGCGAUUGGGAUUCGAUUGGCACCAUAGCCUUACCCUAAUUUAACAUUGGUUGACCUCGGAUCAGGUAGGGAUACCCGCUGA